GACAAAAUCACAUCGAGUUUGAAGUCAUGCUUUUACAAUUUCUUUUUUAAAUUAUAUGUAGUAAUUUAUAUAAGCUCAACUACCUUUGUAUUUGUAUAAAUGAGUCUUUGAUAUUUAAUUAAUUAAUUUAUUUAAUGAAUUGAAUUAAAGUUAUUUUUAUUUCUUUAAAUUAAUAUUGUUUUUGUCUUUUAAAUUACAAUCAUGUUUCAAUUCGAAAAUUUUAAUUCUAAAAUCGACUCCUAUAUCAUUGAUUUAAUAGUUAAUUAAUUAAACUAAUAUUGUUAAAGAAAUGUUAUAAAAAAAAUAGUUAGAAUAAUACCCUAUUUCCCAAUAAUUGAGCCCUUUCUUUUUCUUUAAUCUUUCUAAGAUUAGAUUGGCCAACUAAUUGGAAAUUUUUGAGUGGACAGUUGAACUCGUUGAAUUCAAAAAAAAAAGAUUUCUAAAGGCUUGAUUAUUUUAAACACAUACCAUUGAACUUUAUGAGAUUGUAAUCAUGAAUAAUGGCAAAAUAAUCUUUUAUUUUUCUUCCAUUUUCUUGAAGCAUGUGAUGUUAUAGGAGGCAAGGAAGUAUCCACAGAUGGUGAAGGGGAAUCUUCAAAUAUAAAAUAACUAUGUUAAUUUGCCUAUUACUUAUAGAAAAGGAAUCUAAUGUGAAUAAAUCAUGUUCAAAAAGCAUAUAUUAUUUUAUUUUCAAUGUAGAUUGGACAGGGUUUAGGCAUGCUCCAAUAAUUAUUAUACAAACUAAUAAGUUAAUAUUUUGAGACAUUUAAAGAUAGAAUUUGAAUGUUAA
rnacentral:lncRNA from 1 species